rnacentral:tRNA from 1 species
GAUCCAGUGGCGUAAUGGAUAAGGCAUCAUCCUCCAAAGCUGGGGUGUGUGGGUUCAAGUUCCACCUGGGUCU